GAUGAAGAACGUAGCGAAACGCGAUACGUAAUGUGAAUUGCAGAAUUCAGUGAAUCAUCGAGUCUUUGAACGCACAUUGCGCCCCCUGGCAUUCCGGGGGGCAUGCCUGUCCGAGCGUCAUUGCUGCCCUUCAAGCCCGGCUUGUGUGUUGGGUCGUCGUCCCCCCCGGGGGACGGGCCCGAAAGGCAGCGGCGGCACCGCGUCCGGUCCUCGAGCGUAUGGGGCUUUGUCACCCGCUCGAUUAGGGCCGGCCGGGCGCCAGCCGGCGUCUCCAACCUUCUAUUUUACCAGGUUGACCUCGGAUCAGGUAGGGAUACCCGCUGAACUUAAGCAUAUCAAUAAGCGGAGGA
rnacentral:misc_RNA from 1 species